rnacentral:sRNA from 1 species
UCUUGGUCCAAUUAGAGGAAGUAAAAGUCGUAACAAGGUUUCCGUAGGUGAACCUGCGGAAGGAUCAUUACAGAGUUCGUGCCCGGAAGGGUAGACCUCCCACCCUUGUGUAUUGUUACUUUGUUGCUUUGGCAGGCUGCCUUUGCGCCUGCCAGAGGUUCGUCAAACUCUUUUUAUCAAUGUCGUCUGAGUACUAUACAAUAGUUAAAACUUUCAACAACGGAUCUCUUGGUUCUGGCAUCGAUGAAGAACGCAGCGAAAUGCGAUAAGUAAUGUGAAUUGCAGAAUUCAGUGAAUCAUCGAAUCUUUGAACGCACAUUGCGCCCCUUGGUAUUCCGGGGGGCAUGCCUGUUCGAGCGUCAUUUCAACCCUCAAGCGCAGCUUGGUAUUGAGCCCUUGUCAGUGAUGGCAGGCUCUAAAAUCAGUGGCGGCGCCGUUGGGUCCUGAACGUAGUAAUAUCUCUCGUUACAGGCCCCCAGCGUGCUUCUGCCAACACCUAAAUUUCUAGUGUUGACCUCGGAUCAGGUAGGGAUACCCGCUGAACUUAAGCAUAUCAAUAGCCGGAGGAA